GGAAGGGCCAUAGUUCAGUGGUAGAACAUCUGUUUUGCAUGCAGAAGGCCCCAGGUUCAAGCCCAGGCUUCUCCA